rnacentral:rRNA from 1 species
CGGUGUUCAACUGGCGUGCCCGCGGGACGUCCUGCCGGUGAGCUCAGCCCGCGAGGGCGGCUCAACUUGAAAUCCCAUCGCGGUGCUCUUCAUUGAGUGUCGAGGUGGGCCGGCACGAUUACUUUUGAACAAAUUAGAGUGCUUAAAGCAGGCUAAAAUUUUGCCUGAAUACUGUGUAUAUGGAAUAAUGGAAUAGGACCUCGGUUCUAUUUUGUUGGUUUUCGGAACCCCGAGGUAAUGAUUAAUAGGAACGGAUGGGGGCAUUCGUAUUGCGACGUUAGAGGUGAAAUUCUUGGAUCGUCGCAAGACGGACUAAAGCGAAAGCAUUUGCCAAAAACGCUUUCAUUGAUCAAGAACGAAAGUUAGAGGUUCGAAGGCGAUCAGAUACCGCCCUAGUUCUAACCAUAAACUAUGCCAGCUAGCGAUCCGCCGACGUCCCUCUGAUGACUCGGCGGGCAGCUUCCGGGAAACCAAAGCUUUUGGGUUCCGGGGGAAGUAUGGUUGCAAAGCUGAAACUUAAAGGAAUUGACGGAAGGGCACCACCAGGAGUGGAGCCUGCGGCUUAAUUUGACUCAACACGGGAAACCUCACCAGGCCCAGACACUGGAAGGAUUGACAGAUUGAGAGCUCUUUCUUGAUUCAGUGGGUGGUGGUGCAUGGCCGUUCUUAGUCGGUGAAGCGAUUUGUCAGGUUAAUUCCGAUAACGGACGAGACUCUGACCUGAUAACUAGACGCACUUGCGGCAUCUCAAAGGUCCGCCGGCGGCUGGCUUUGCGCCCGUCGUCGCGCGCGAUUUUUACUGCCGGCGUACAAUAAAUUCUUCUUAGAGGGACAAGUGG